rnacentral:rRNA from 1 species
AUUGAACGCUGGCGGUAGGCCUAACACAUGCAAGUCGAACGCGAAAGUCCUUCGGGAUGAGUAGAGUGGCGGACGGGUGAGUAACGCGUAGGAAUCUAUCCUGUAGUGGGGGAUAACGUUUCGAAAGGAACGCUAAUACCGCAUACGCCCUACGGGGGAAAGCGGGGGAUCUUCGGACCUCGUGCUAGAGGAGGAGCCUGCGUCGGAUUAGCUAGUUGGUGAGGUAAAGGCUCACCAAGGCGACGAUCCGUAGCUGGUCUGAGAGGAUGAUCAGCCACACCGGAACUGAGACACGGUCCGGACUCCUACGGGAGGCAGCAGUGGGGAAUAUUGCGCAAUGGGCGAAAGCCUGACGCAGCCAUACCGCGUGUGUGAAGAAGGCCUUCGGGUUGUAAAGCACUUUCAGUGGGGAGGAAAAGCUGGCGGCUAAUAUCCGCCGGCCGUGACGCUACCCACAGAAGAAGCACCGGCUAAUUCCGUGCCAGCCGCCGCAGUAACAC